rnacentral:rRNA from 1 species
CUUGCUCCUCUGAUUUAGCGGCGGACGGGUGAGUAACACGUGGGUAAUCUGCCUGUAAGACGGGGAUAACUCCGGGAAACCGGGGCUAAUACCGGAUAAUAAGAAGAAACGCAUGUCUCUUUUUUGAAAGUCGGUUUCGGCUGACACUUACAGAUGAGCCCGCGGCGCAUUAGCUAGUUGGUGAGGUAACGGCUCACCAAGGCGACGAUGCGUAGCCGACCUGAGAGGGUGAUCGGCCACACUGGGACUGAGACACGGCCCAGACUCCUACGGGAGGCAGCAGUAGGGAAUCUUCGGCAAUGGGCGAAAGCCUGACCGAGCAACGCCGCGUGAGCGAUGAAGGCCUUCGGGUCGUAAAGCUCUGUUGUUAGAGAAGAACAAGUACGAGAGUAACUGCUCGUACCUUGACGGUACCUAACCAGAAAGCCACGGCUAACUACGUGCCAGCAGCCGCGGUAAUACGUAGGUGGCAAGCGUUAUCCGGAAUUAUUGGGCGUAAAGCGCGCGCAGGCGGUCUCUUAAGUCUGAUGUGAAAGCCCACGGCUCAACCGUGGAGGGUCAUUGGAAACUGGGAGACUUGAGUGCAGGAGAGAAAAGUGGAAUUCCACGUGUAGCGGUGAAAUGCGUAGAGAUGUGGAGGAACACCAGUGGCGAAGGCGGCUUUUUGGCCUGUAACUGACGCUGAGGCGCGAAAGCGUGGGGAGCAAACAGGAUUAGAUACCCUGGUAGUCCACGCCGUAAACGAUGAGUGCUAGGUGUUGGGGGGGUUCCACCCUCAGUGCUGAAGUUAACACAUUAAGCACUCCGCCUGGGGAGUACGACCGCAAGGUUGAAACUCAAAGGAAUUGACGGGGGCCCGCACAAGCAGUGGAGCAUGUGGUUUAAUUCGAAGCAACGCGAAGAACCUUACCAGGUCUUGACAUCCUCUGACCACUCUAGAGAUAGAGCUUUCCCCUUCGGGGG